GGGGAUGUAGCUCAGUGGUAGAGCGCUCGCUUUGCAUGCGAGAGGUCCCGGGUUCGAUCCCCGGCAUCUCCA
rfam:Hydatigera taeniaeformis genome assembly, scaffold: TTAC_contig0014907